GCCCGGCUAGCUCAAUCGGUAGAGCGUGAGACUUUUACAAAUGCAUGAUUAUACAAUGCAGGAGUCACGUGAUCUCAAGGCUGCGGGUUCGAGCCCCGCGUUGGGCU